AUUACGUCAGCACAGUGGAUUUAAUCUAUUUGUCAUUUGUUGAUGCUCAAGAGUUACAGAGGAGGAUGAGACUGGAGAUGCCACAAAAACCAGCUAUUGUGAGAGCUUCACAACUCUUUUAGGACAGGCACACAAAGAUGUUCACUCCUAGCUGUGCCUGCGCUGUUAAGAAGUGCUGUCAGGACAGUGAACACCCCUGAGGAGGAGAGAGACCUGGAGGUCUGAGGAGGCGGAAAGUGGAGAGGUGAAACACCACCAAAGGCAGGCUGGUAGAAGUGAUUGCUAGCUUUCUAUCAUGCAGGCUGUGCACGCAUG
rnacentral:lncRNA from 1 species